GGGACACUUGGUUCCUACUUCUAGUGAGCACUGAAUCUGAGGGUGAAGUAGACACACACAUCUACAUUUAACAUAGUAACGGCAACAGGCACAAGGCCAUCCCAGGUGGCAGUUGCCAGGGCCCAAGGGGCUGGGAUGUUGGAUGCUGUAGUAGCAACCUUAGAGUCACAGGAGUCCCAUCAGAGAAGGCUUCCUGGAGAAUGUGAGUACAGGUGGAAGAGGGUUUAGAAGGAGAGAUUGGGCAAGGAGGAGAAACAGGGAGAAAAUUGUCUUUUGAAGGCCUAAUGCCUGUAAGGAGAGCAGGCCCAGAGGGUGGAAGAAAUGACACAAGCUCAUUGUCCGCACAUGAAGGCAGAAAAGAAAACCAACCCUUCCCUGCCAUCUGCAUGGGCCUGGGGCCCUCACUCACAGGCAGGCAAGCAGCCAGUGGGAGAUGGCAGCCCAGAUAACCUGCCUUACAAAGAGCCAACAAGAGAGAAGCCACAGACUUAACCACUCACAAACAGGAAGUCCAGAAGGCAGAGCAGACCCGCCCUCCAGUAAGCUACAGUUGGGGACAGGCCUGGCCACAAAGGAGGGAAACUGAGCCCCUAGCAUUGCAAAAUGGGGCUAAAGCAAAUUGGAGUCAAUAGUCCCAAAUGUUGAGACCCUUCCCCAUCUCCCUGGAGGGGCAGCCAAGGGAAGCAGGUGCCAAGAGAGGCAAGUGCCUUAAGAACCUAAGACAGCCCAUGUCCCCUACAGAGAUCAUCUCAGCACCUCAGAAGAUCUGUCUCAUCUCAGAGCCUUGGGAGCACAAGGAGUGCUAAAGGGCCUCCAGGCAAGGAGGGCGGGCAAACUGGCUGCCCCUCAGCCCCUGCCUGCUCGUACCAGACUCCCCUAGGUUUAAUUUCAUACUCUCCUGCUCUACUCUGUCUGGCAAGGGGCAGCUCCAAUGCACAGUGGCCCACACUAGGAGGUCACUUCGCACUGGGGCAGGGUUCUGGCUCAGAUCUCCUGGGAUCAUAAGACCCAAGGACUUUUAAGCAGCAAGGUUAGGCAGCAACUGGUCCCGAGUCAGGAAACAGAGCUGCAAGCCCAGAGAGAGGCAGAAGGCAGCCUGAGGUCACAAAACAAGUUAGGGCCAAGUUGGGUUCUUUCCACAACAUCUGGGAAAAGGCAGGACGGGCUGGGUGGAAAGGGGGUGUGGGUGUGAGGAAGGCUACCCUGACCACUGCUGUGGGAGUGGCCGUGAAACCAGAAGCUUUCUCCUCUGGGAUCUUCUGGGGACACAAGUGGAGAGAUGAAAGCUCCCUCUGGACUCUCUCCACACACAGGUGCUGGGUUUAACUUGCAUAGCUGCACCUGCUCCAGUUCCAACUGCUGCAAAUAAAUUGUGUGUGUAUGUGUGGCGGGGACAGGGAGGGGGUCCAAGAGCUGGUUUUCUGCCUGGAACCCACUACAAUCCCUCAUCAGCCCCACUCCCUAUCCCAACAUCAGGAUCACCAAGCAGAGGAUAAAAUUAAGUGUCAAGAAACUAGGGGUCUAAUCCUCACCCUGUGAUUAUUUAUGGUACAAUUCUGGGCCAGUCACUGAAUCUGCCCCUAAACCCCAGCCUGUUUCUUCACCUAUAAAAAUGGGGAGGGAGUUGACCAAAAGACUUGUUUGUGCUCUAGGAAGUCCCCAAGAGCACAGGAGCCCAGAGACCUCGCAGGAGGAAGCAGCAGUAUCUGUGUUCCAAAUCCUGCCCAGCCCCCAGGCAGCCAUGCCUCCUGCCCCCAACAGGAUUCCUCACAUCCCAGGACCAGCUGGAAAAGGUGGUGAGAGUUGGAAAGAGACUGCUCAGUGAGGACUGCCCUGCGAACCAGCUUGGAUUCAUCCCGUUCACCUCCACGUUCUGCACUCGGGGCCGAGGGAAGGGAGGCAGCCCAGGCAGCUAGAGAACUUGAUGAAACACACUCAAUCUGAAUCUCGCUUGAUCGUCAUGCUGACCCAGUGAGGCCACUCCUCGACUUUUCAGCUCCCGCACGAUUCCUGAAGCAGGAAAAGAAACAGUUCUGUGAGGUAAGAUUCAGAAGGGUAAGAUAGGCCACUCAGCUGCCACCUUGAGGGGGGUACUAUAAGCAAACUGGAGUUCCUAGACUACUUAUCAAUCGUCUGCUUGGCCAGGCACGGUGGCUCAUGCCUGCAAUCUCAGCACUUUGGGAGGUCAAGGUGGAUCACUUGAGGUCAGGAGUUCAAGACUAGCCUGGGCUACAGAGCAAGGCCCCAUCUCUACAAAAAAAUUUUAAAAAUUAGCCAGGUGUAGUGGCUUGCACCUGUAGUGCCAGCUAUUUGGGAGGCUGAGGCGGGAGGAUCCCUUGAAUCCAUGAGUUCAAGGCUGCAGUGAGCUCUGAUAAUGCCACUAUACUUCAGCCUGGGUGACAGAGACUCUGUCUCAAAAAAAAAAAAAAAAAAAAAGGUCCUGCUUAGUUGACUCAUUACUAGUGAAGACCCAGGCAGGUAUUCGGUAAGAAUGAGAAGAAAAAGAGGGAUACAUGUAGUCAUCAAAAGCAAAGGUUCUAAGCCAAGCACCUGUAGUCCCAGCUACUCAGGAGGCAGAGGUGGGAGGAGCACAUGAGCCCAGGAGUUAGAGUCCAGCCUGGGCAACAUAGUGAGACCUUGUCUCUAAAAAAAAUAAAAAACAGAAACAGCAAAAAUUCUGGAGCCAGAAUGCCUGGAUUCCAAUCCUGGCUCCUCAUUUACUACCUGGUGACCUCCAGCAAGUGAUUUAACCUCUCUGUGCCUGGUUCCCCCCAUCUGUAAAAUGCUGAACCUCAUAGAAUGUGAGAAUUGGCAUUAAUUCAGAUAAAAAAACUUCCACAGAGCUUUACAGUAAAUGAACAUUGGCUGUUAUGAUUAUUAUUACCUUGGGGCAGGCGACCAGUGACUGACACCGCAUAUACACCUGGCUUAAAGUUACCUGAGAGAGAAGAAAAAAGAUACAAGAUUACAGUGAAGUUAGUUAAGACUCAAGAUCAAAUGGAAGCUUAAGCUAAAGAAGUGAUGCAACUCCAAGAGAAGAGCUAUUCCCUCUUUUGGCUACAAGUGUUAAAUGACAAGGCACAGGACACUGCUUCCCUGUGUUUCCUACAACCCGAUCUUUCCCACCCUGAGGUCACUCAUCUUGCUGAUUUGAGACUCCCUAAUGGACCUGAGGAACAGUAACAACACUACAACUAAGCCAAAAGGAGACAGGCCAACACUUACUGACUCGCUGCCACUUGGAGACCCAGCUGUCCUCUGGACUCAUCAUCGCAAUGAUUCUAGGGAGGGAAAAGAAAUGGAGAGUCAGCCUGAGCCUCCCUGGGCCUGAGCUCAAUUCUGAGAGAGGAAUCUAGGAAAAAGCCAAGUACCGAGUCUCCACUGGAAAGCUGGCAAAACUGCCUUCUGAUGUUGGGAUGAGGCUGACUCAAAGCUAGGACUGACAAAAGUUCUUCAUUCUUAUGUCCUUGGCCGGCCAGCCACAGGUCAGUUUCCAUCCCCAAAAGAUUAUCUCACUCAGCUCACAAACAUCCUUAGCCUAACAUUCCCUAGAAAAUGAGACGGCUUUAGGACAAGGGGUCCAAUAGUUACAACUAACACAACUACAAGGGGUCUAGGGCCUAGUGCAAAGAGGAGGGUGAGUGAAAACAACGGAUCCUCCUACUAGAAAGGAGUUCAACUUGGCUAAACUUUUCCUCUUAAUGACCUAUACAUAUGGGGACCCCUCUAAUGACCUAUACAUGUGGGGUUCCCUUCUCAGAACCUCAUCAGUAAGCUGAGACUCAAAGGUUGAGAUAAUACAUGAAAAACACCUAGCACAAAGACUAGCACAGAGUAGGUGCUAAAUAAGCAUUAGCUCUCCUCAUUAUCCUAAUAGUCCUUCCCAGGUAGCUGUGAUUCCAGAGGAAUGGUAAGGCUAUUCAAGGGCUAGAAGAUGCUGCUUGAGCAAGAUGGGUAAGCAUUUUUGUCAUUCAACGCAUUCAAUCAAAUGCUUACUGACUGCCUAUUGUGUGGGUGUAAGCACUGACAUUUGUUGACUGCCUCAAUAUGCCUCCCCUCUUCUCUCAGUAACAAUCUUGGAUUCUUAUUUGAGAAGAUUCCCUUCCCAUCCAAAUCCUACAUUCUCAGCCAUGCGCUGUUAAGUGGAACCGACCCUACCUCCAGGGGUGACAAGCAGAACACUAGCCCCCAGCCCUGCAGCCUGAUGGGAGAUAGGCAUGUAUGCAGGCCAUCCUCCUGACCACAAGUAUAUUCUUCUCUGUCCUUUGCAAUCUAUCUUUUUAGCCUUAGGGUCCCUACAGCCCAACCUUAUGAUUUAACCUAAACAGAAUUCCCACUGUUCUCCAAAAACAUCCUGGUUUUUCCCAUCCUAAGCCUUUGCUCUAGUCACUCCCUUUAUUUGGAAUGUUCUCUCUCUCUCUCACCUCAACUUCCUCAAAAAUCCCAAACUUCUUGCCUUAAGAGGAAAGUACUACCUCUUCCAAUUCUGGUUGAGGUCAUCUAGCCCUCUUCCGAUCUUUAAUUUGCCCACUCUUUAAGACCUAAUAUGCACUAGAAUUAUACAAAUAAUUCCUACAACCUAACAACAAAAAAACCAAACUGAAGUCAAAAAUGAGCAAAGGCCUUGAAUAGGCAUUUCUCCAAAGAUAUACAAAUGGCUAUAAGCACCUAAGAGGCUCAACAUCACCAUUCAUUGGGGGAAAUGGGACACCAAAGUCACACCCAUCAGGAUGGCUAUUAUUAAUAAAUAAUUAAGUGUUGGUGAGGAUGGGGAGAAAUUAGAACCUUUGGGCACUGUUGGUGGGAAUGGAAAAUGGUGCAGUUGCUAAACAGUAUGACAGUUCCUCAAAAAAUUAAACACUGAACUAUCAUAUGAUCUAGCAAUUUCACUUGUGGAUAUACAGAUGAUCCCUGACUUACCUUAGUUCAACUUAUGAUUUUUCAAAUUUAUGAUUUUGCAAAAGUGACAUGCAUUCAAUAGAAAUCGUUUUCAAAUUUUAAAUUUUGUUCUUUUCCAGGCUAGCAAUUCAGUACAAUAUUCUGUCAUGAUGCUGCGCAGCAGCCAUGAGCCACAGCUUCUGGUCAGCCACAGUAACAUAAGCGUUCUGAGCACAUUUGAAGUAGGCUAACUUAUUAUAUUCAGUAGGUUGGGUGUGUUAAAUGCACUUUUGGCUUAUAUUUUCAACUUAUGAUGGGCUUAUUAGGUUGUAACUCCUCGGAAGUUGAGGUGCAUCUGUACUGAAAAUAAUGAAAAGCAGGGACUUGAACACAUAUUUGUAUACCAAUGUUCACAGCAGUAUUAUUCACAAAUAGCCAAAAGGGAGAAACAACCCAAGAUAUCAUUGAUGAAUGAAUGGGCAGCAGAACAUGCUAUACACAUACAAGGGAAUAUUAUUCAGCUCAAAAGAGGAGGGAAAUUCUGUUGCAUACUACAAUAUGAAUGAACCUUGAAGACAUUAUGUUGGUGAAAGAAGCUAAAAAAUGCUACUGAAUGAGCCCAUAGGUACCUAAGGGUGCCUAAGGUGGCCAAAUUCAUAGAGACAAAGCAUGGUGGUUGUCAGGGACAGGAGGGAGGAGAGAACGAGGAGCUAGUGUUUAAUGGGUACAGAUGAAAAAAGUUCUGGAGAUGGAUGGUGGUGACGGUUGCACAACAGUGAGUAUGCACUAAUGCCACUGAAUUGUGUAUUUAGAAAUGGCGACCGGGCACAGUGGCUCAUGCCUGUAAUCCCAGCACUUUGUGAGGCUGAGACGGGAGGAUCACCUGAGGUCAGGAGUUCGAGACCAGCCUGGCCAGCAUGGCAAAACCCUGUCUCUACUAAAAAAAGUACAAAAAUUAGCUGGGCGUGGUGGUGGGCGCCUGUAAUCCCAGCUACUCAGGAGGCUGAGGUAGGAGGCGGAGGUUGCAGUGAGCUGAGAUCGUGCCAUUGCAGCCGGGCGCUGUGGCUCACUCCUGUAAUCCCAGCACUUUGGGAGGCCGAGGCGGGUGGAUCACGAGGUCAGCAGUUCAAGACCAGUCUGACCAACAUGGUGAAACCCCGUCUCUACUAAAAAUACAAAAAUUAGCUGGGUAUGGUGGCAGGUGCCUGUAAUCCCAGCUACUCAGGAGGCUGAGGCAGAGAACUGCUUGAACCUGGGAGGCGGAGGUUGCAGUGAGCCGAGAUUGCGCCACUGCACUCCAGCCUGGGCGACAGAGCGAGACUCCAUCUCAAAUAAAUAAAUAAAUAAAUAAAUAAGUAAAAUGGCUAAAAUGGGCCGGGCAUGGUGACUCAUACUUGUAAUCCCAGCACUAUGAGAGGCCGAGGUGGGCAGAUCACCUGAGGUCAGGAGUUUGAGACCAGCCUGGCCAACAUGGUGAAACCCCGUCUCUACUAAAGAUAUAAAAAUUAGCUGGGAGUGGUGGUGGGUGCCUGUAAUCCCAGCUACUCAAGAGGCUGAGGCAGGAGAAUUGCUUGAACCCAGGAGGCAGAGGUUGCAGUGAGCCGAGACUGCACCAUUGCACUCCAGCAUGAGUGGCAAGGGCGAAAAGUCUGUCCAAAAAAAAAAAAAAAAAAAAAGCAACAGCUUUUGGGCAAUGAUCUACCAUUACUACACCUCCCUUCCCUUCAUUUUCAAAAAAAAUUUUCAUGCAUUUAACAAACAUUAUUAAGAUUACAUUCUUUCUUCUCAUGUUAAGUCUUUGAAAUCUGGGGUAUAUUUUAUACUUAAAAGCAUGUCUUAAUUUGGACUAGACACAUUUCAAGUGCUCAGUAGCUACACGUGGAUAGUGGUCACUGUAUUAGAUGCAUAGCACUAGUAUGUCCCAAAAUAACUGUUGAGGCUGGACACAGUGGCUUACACCUAUAAUCCCAGCACUCUGGGAGGUUGAAGUCAGAGGAUCAUUCCACGCUGCAGUGAGCUAUGAUCAUGCCACUGCACUCCAGCCUGAGCCACAGAGCAAAACCCUGAUUCAAAAAAAAAAAAAAAAAAAAAAACCCACACAAAAUAACCCCCAAAAACGAAUGGCUGGGCCCAACUAGGAUUAACACUUGCCCUGCAUUUACUUCUCUGGGUGCAGGUUGGGUAAUGCAGAAGUGAAUGAUGGAAACUGAAGCGGCUUACCCAUCAAAGGAAGAGCUAGUGCAGUCAUAUACCAUCUCUCGGUUACCCUUCAUUUGUAGAUAUGCAUCACAAUUGUCACAACCAUCAUAUUCAAACUGGUCUAUAGUCUGGGAGUGAAAGAAAAAUAAAGGAAAAGGAGAGAUAAGCAUGAACAAGACCAAGAGAAAAAGUAGCUUUCUCAAUACUUCGACCUGCUCAAUUUCUUGUUUCCCUAUGUUGACUGUGUAUCCUAAGGUUCCCCACCUACUACUCUCAAAGCUUCAUUCCUAAGUCCCACCCUCCCACUCCUUCCUCUCUCGUUCCCAAUUCCGUUUUAUCUAUUCCUUUCUCUAGUCUACUCAGGGUCAGGCAUCCUUUCCGACUACUCACUCAGCAGCGGAUCCCCACCCGCCUCUGACUCCCAGUGUCUUUCGGCUCCAACGUAAGUUCACCGAACGUCUAAGAGCUGAGGAUUCAAAGGCAUGUAAGACCGCCCCUGCCCUCAGCUGCAAGACCUGUCCGCGAUCCUACGAGCCCCAUUCCGCCCUCUUUCCCCGACCUUGGUCCCCCAUGGGCCCUACAACCAGGUCCCCGACUGACACCUUGACCAGCGAACACAGCAAACAGGCCCGCAGAUGCCGCAGGUCCUUCGGCACCGUCUCCAGGGCCAUCUUCGCCGAUGGGAAGAACAACAGGGAGAUAGACGACCACAGCCUGUGCACCCGCAGGAAAAGCAUUGGGGGCAGUGAAUCCACUGUCUCCCUCUGGAUUGUCUCUGCAGAGACCGAGAAGAAAUCCAGGGACAGCCCCACCCCUCCUUCCU
rnacentral:lncRNA from 10 species